GAUUAAGUUAUUAAGGGCGCACGGUGGAUGCCUUGGCACUAGAAGCCGAUGAAGGACGUUACUAACGACGAUAUGCUUUGGGGAGCUGUAAGUAAGCUUUGAUCCAGAGAUUUCCGAAUGGGGAAACCCAGCAUGAGUUAUGUCAUGUUAUCGAUAUGUGAAUACAUAGCAUAUCAGAAGGCACACCCGGAGAACUGAAACAUCUUAGUA
rnacentral:rRNA from 1 species